rnacentral:rRNA from 1 species
AUUGAACGCUGGCGGCAGGCCUAACACAUGCAAGUCGAGCGAGCGGCGGACGGGUGAGUAAUGUCUGGGAAUCUGCCUGAUGGAGGGGGAUCACUACUGGAAAGGGUAGCUAAUACCGCAUACUAUCAGAUGCGCCCAUAUGGGAUUAGCUAGUAGGUGGGGUAAUGGCUCACCUAGGCGACGAUCCCUAGCUGGUCUGAGAGGAUGACCAGCCACACUGGAACUGAGACACGGUCCAGACUCCUACGGGAGGCAGCAGUAGGGAAUCUUGCACAAUGGGCGAAAGCCUGACGGAGCAACGCCGCGUGAGUGAAGAAGGUCUUCGGGUCGUAAAGCACUGUUAGUAGGGAAGCGGUACCUACAGAGGAAGCACCGGCUAACUACGUGCCAGCAGCCGCGGUAAUUC